UACGUAGGUGGCAAGCGUUGUCCGGAUUUAUUGGGCUUAAAGGGUGCGUCGGCGGCUCGGUAAGUCCGCUGUGAAAGUCCAGGGCUCAACCCUGGAAUGCCGGUGGAAACUGUCGAGCUUGAGUCCGGAAGAGGCGAGUGGAAUUCCUGGUGUAGCGGUGAAAUGCGCAGAUAUCAGGAGGAACACCAAUGGCGAAGGCAGCUCGCUGGGACGGUACUGAGGCUGAGACGCGAAAGCGUGGGGAGCAAACAGG
rnacentral:rRNA from 1 species